rnacentral:rRNA from 1 species
CCUACGGGAGGCAGCAGUGGGGAAUAUUGCACAAUGGGGGAAACCCUGAUGCAGCGACGCCGCGUGAGUGAAGAAGUAAUUCGUUAUGUAAAGCUCUAUCAGCAGGGAAGAAAAUGACGGUACCUGAGUAAGAAGCCCCGGCCAACUACGUGACAGCAGCCGCGGUAAUACGUAGGGGGAAAGCGUUAUCCGGCUUUACGGGGUGGAAAGGGAGCGUAGACGGCAGUGCAAGUCUGGAGGUAAGGGCGGGGGCUCACCCCCCGGACUGCUCUGGAAACAGUACGGCUGGAGUGCAGGAGAGGUAAUUGGAAUUCCUAGUGUAGCGGUGAAAUGGGUAGAUAUUAGGAGGAACACCAGUGGCGAAGGCGGCUUACUGGACUGUAACUGACGUUGAGGCUCGAAAGCGUGGGGAGCAAACAGGAUUAGAUACCCUUGUAGUC